UACGGGGGGGGCGAGCGUUGUUCGGAAUUACUGGGCGUAAAGGGUUCGUAGGUGGCCGGCUAAGUCAGACGUGAAAUCCCUCAGCUCAACUGGGGAACUGCGUCUGAGACUGGUCGGCUCGAGUGCAGGAGAGGAACGCGGAAUUCCAGGUGUAGCGGUGAAAUGCGUAGAUAUCUGGAGGAACACCGGUGGCGAAGGCGGGUCUCUGGGCCGAUAUUGACGCUGAGGAGCGAAAGCGUGGGGAGCGAACAGG
rnacentral:rRNA from 1 species